UACAGAGGUCUCAAGCGUUGUUCGGAUUCAUUGGGCGUAAAGGGUGUGUAGGUGGCGCGCUAAGUCGGGUGUGAAAUUUCGGAGCUUAACUCCGAAACUGCAUUCGAUACUGGCGUGCUUGAGAACUGGAGAGGAGACUGGAAUUCAUGGUGUAGCAGUGAAAUGCGUAGAGAUCAUGAGGAAGACCAGUGGCGAAGGCGGGUCUCUGGACAGUUCCUGACACUGAGACACGAAGGCCAGGGGAGCAAACGGG
rnacentral:rRNA from 1 species